AGGCUGCUUGUGAUGACUGCAUAGUUCAGCAGAUGACCCGUGUUGAUCACCUUCCUGUCUUUCGCUUCUGUCUGAUGCAGCCU
rfam:Calypte anna contig34873, whole genome shotgun sequence.